GAUGAACGCUAGCUACAGGCUUAACACAUGCAAGUCGAGGGGUAGCAGGGUAGCAAUACCGCUGACGACCGGCGCACGGGUGAGUAACACGUAUCCAACCUUCCCAUAACUCGGGGAUAGCCUUUCGAAAGAAAGAUUAAUACCCGAUAGUACUUAUAUAGGGCAUCCUACAUAAGUUAAAGAUUUAUUGGUUAUGGAUGGGGAUGCGUUCCAUUAGAUAGUUGGUGAGGUAACGGCUCACCAAGUCUUCGAUGGAUAGGGGUUCUGAGAGGAAGGUCCCCCACAUUGGUACUGAGACACGGACCAAACUCCUACGGGAGGCAGCAGUGAGGAAUAUUGGUCAAUGGGCGAGAGCCUGAACCAGCCAAGUAGCGUGAAGGAUGAAGGUCCUAUGGAUUGUAAACUUCUUUUAUAGUAGAAUAAAGUGAUCCACGUGUGGAUUUUUGUAUGUAUACUAUGAAUAAGGAUCGGCUAACUCCGUGCCAGCAGCCGCCGUAACAC
rnacentral:rRNA from 1 species